CCUCCACCACCAACUCCACCCACUCCAUCAUAACCUCCACCACCACCUCCUUCAUCAUCAUAACCCCCACUUCCACUUCCUCCAUCGUAACCUCCACCACCACCACCACCAGCUGGCCAUAACCUGGAGUAUGAUUCCUCGGAGGAGAAGGAGCCCCGUCUGAUCUUCUACGAUGACAGGGACGAGGUGGUGCAGACGGUCCCUGUGAAAGAGAUGACGGCGGACGCCAUCGGCCAGCUGCUGGAGGCCCGCGGAUUCUACAGGAGGAGCCAGAAGGGAGAGGAGGUUCCCGAGGAGUUCCAGAACUUCCCCCUGCACGCCCCCAGAGACGAGCUCUGAGGGCCCCUAGUGGCCGCGGACCGCCGCUGCAGCCCUGUCGCUUAAUGACGAGUGGGGCUCCAAGGCUCAACUGUCAGCCCGGCCCUACUCCGAUAACCCCUCGACAGGCUGCGCAGUCCGAACUCC
ensembl:lncRNA